GGGGCUAGCGUUGUUCGGAAUUACUGGGCGUAAAGGGCGCGUAGGCGGUUCCUCAAGUCAGGCGUGAAAGCCCCGGGCUCAACCUGGGAACCGCGCUUGAGACUGGAGUACUAGAGUUCGGGAGAGGAUGGUGGAAUUCCCAGUGUAGAGGUGAAAUUCGUAGAUAUUGGGAAGAACACCGAUGGCGAAGGCAGCCAUCUGGACCGACACUGACGCUGAGGCGCGAAAGCGUGGGGAGCAAACAGG
rnacentral:rRNA from 1 species